ensembl:piRNA 21ur-83 ncRNA
UUAAUUGAGCUGUGAUGUGAU